rnacentral:rRNA from 1 species
GACAGAGGUGGCGAGCGUUGUUCGGAAUUACUGGGCUUAAAGGGCGAGUAGGCGGUGGAGCAAGUCUGAGGUGGAAUCCUAUGGCUUAACCAUAGAACUGCCUUCGAAACUGUUUCACUUGAGUCAGUGAGGGGAGGGCGGAAUUCCCGGUGUAGCGGUGAAAUGCGUAGAUAUCGGGAGGAAGGCCGGUGGCGAAGGCGGCCCUCUGGCACCGUACUGACGCUGAGGCGCGAAAGCGUGGGGAGCAAACAGG